GAUGAACGCUGGCGGCGUGCUUAACACAUGCAAGUCGAACGAUGAAGCCCAGCUUGCUGGGUGGAUUAGUGGCGAACGGGUGAGUAACACGUGAGUAACCUGCCCUUAACUCUGGGAUAAGCCUGGGAAACUGGGUCUAAUACCGGAUAGGAGCGUCCACCGCAUGGUGGGUGUUGGAAAGAUUUAUCGGUUUUGGAUGGACUCGCGGCCUAUCAGCUUGUUGGUGAGGUAAUGGCUCACCAAGGCGACGACGGGUAGCCGGCCUGAGAGGGUGACCGGCCACACUGGGACUGAGACGAGGCCCAGACGCCUACGGGAAGCAGCAGUGGUGAAUAUUGCACAAUGGGCGCAAGCCUGAUGCAGCGACGCCGCGUGAGGGAUGACGGCCUUCGGGUUGUAAACCUCUUUCAGUAGGGAAGAAGCGAAAGUGACGGUACCUGCAGAAGAAGCACCGGCUAACUACGUG
rnacentral:rRNA from 1 species